GAGUUUGAUCCUGGCUCAGAACGAACGCUGGCGGCGUGCCUAACACAUGCAAGUCGUACGCGAAAAGCCUAGGGUAGUAGCGUGGUAGAGGUGGCGACACGGGUGGAGUAACACCGUAAAGUGACCGUAAGUCCGAGUAAGCACUGGGAUAAACCGUUCCGAAAGGAUGGCUAACUACUUGGAGUAAAGCCCUACGACCUUCGGGUUGAGGAAAAUGAUUGGGACCUUUCGAGGCCAAUCGGCAAUGGAGGGAUUUGCGGCCCAUCAGGUAGUUGGCGGGGUAACGGCCCACCAAGCCUAAGACGGGUAGCUGGUCUGAGAGGAUGAUCAGCCACACUGGAACUGAGACACGGUCCAGACUCCCUACGGGAGGCAGCAGUGGGGAAUCUUGCGCAAUGGACGAAAGUCUGACGCAGCAACGCCGCGUGGGUGAUGAAGGUCUUCGGAUCGU
rnacentral:rRNA from 1 species